AACAAACAUAAGAUUAAACUUUCAUACAAUGCAUUGUAGUCACCAACAUAAAAUUAGGUUUCUGAUACUUGUGCCUCGGUUCUAUAGGCAUUUUACAAGCAAAUGUAAUCCAUAUUGCAUAAUAACCAGGUCUUAACAACGGGAGCUUGGACUGUCACAUCAUGAUUGCACAAAUAAAAGGAAGGCAACUUCCUUUUAACCAAGCCAAACAAACAAUUCACAAAUAAAUACAGUGCAAGGCAUGAGCAAGCAGACCUGUUCAUUAUUCUCAGGGUUAUGGCCAAGACUGGCAGAUUCUCCACAACCAAAUGAAUACACAUCACCAUUAUCAGCCACUACAAAGGUGGUGUAAUCUCCUGUAGCAACAUGAACUGCUUUGACAUCUCUCAACUCUUCCACCACCUUAGGUACAGAUUCACAUUCUUCAUUACCAUGACCCAAGCAGCCACAACGACCCCAGCCCCAUGUGCAAAUCCGGCCGUCCUGCCCCACCACAGCUGCAUGCCAAGCACCAGCCGCAACCACCUUUGGCUGAAGGUUUAACACUUGGAAUUGUUCGAUCAAACGAGGAUACUUCUCAUCAGUUUUUGAGCCAUGGCCAAGCUUCCCACCCAAACCACACCCAACAGAGUAGACAGACCUAUUAAGAUUUCAGAAAAGGAUCACAUAAUCAAUCAAUAAACAAAGACGCGCAGACACACAUAGUCAUUACAAUUAAAAUGAAAGGUAAUGUAAAAUCUAAAAGAAUAAAAAUCAGCAAUGCUUAAGCACUUUCAUAAAUCUUGAAGUUGGGAACUUACGAUGAAAGUACAUGUAGACAAUUAAAGAAAACAGUAUGGAAGAUAUAUGGUUUGCCAUUAGAGGAAUAAAUCAUAAUACAAAAUAUUCUCUUUUCGAUCUAGCAAUAUGCAUAGAAAAAAUAAUGAUGGAAGAGUGCCCAACUUGCAUCAAUGAUAUAACUCUCAAUUCUCUUCUUGCCAAAAAGGAAUUCCAACAGUUAAGAGAAGGAGAAAAAAAGAUGAAGCUCACAUUCCACUUGGUUGACAAACCAAACAAAGGAGGUAGCAGAAACCGGCAGCUAUCUGCACUACUGGCAUGUGCUCCAGAGCUCCUAAUAAAGGACGAGGUUCCACAUCAUUAGGAUCUGUAUGGUGGCAGAGUUUUCCAUCACUACCCCAAGAAAAAGUAUAAACCCUGCCUUCUCUUGACAAUACGGCUGUGAAAAAGUUUCCAAUUGCAGCUUGCACAACAAAUAUGUUUUUCAAAGAUUCAACUAACUGUGGAGCUGUAACCAUUUUAGAUCCUUGAAUUCCAUUCUCAGCUUCACCAAAAGAGUCUUUCCCAAAGGCAUAAACCUGCCCAAAAUCACUGAUUAACAUUGUUCUCCCUGUCGCAACAGUAGCUUGUAUAAUCCGGAUGCCUUGUAAAGCUCUGCAGCAUAAUGGAGUUAUGUUAUCCUCAAUUCAACAAGAACUGUGGAAUGCAAUAACUAAAGUUCCAACCUGAUUGGUCGAGGUUGCCAUUCCUCUUUAGUUGUACCAUGCCCAAGUUGUCCUGAACUAUUGGACCCAAAUGAAUAAACAACCCCUUUUGAUGUCACAGCAAUGCUAUGACCAGGACCUGCUAUUGCCUGUGAUUUCUCUCUUCUGCAACAUGCUUCUCCAGCCAUCAAAAACCUCAGAACCAAUUUCCAAGAACCACCACAUCUUUGCUUCAAAUCUUGCUGUUGUUCAGUCGUCAUUGGCUUAAAAAUGGCUCUCUUCUGGCACAUGUCCAAUGCAGCAAGCUCUGACAAGGACAAAUCGAAAUCCGGAGCAAAGUUUGCCGGCUUCUUGAAGAAGGAGCAUGUUGCCUAAAAAAUACACAAUAAAAAAGAAACCAACAGUAUUAGACUUAGUAAUUACAAUUAAUUAAUUAAGAGCUGAAAUGCAGAUAAGCACUGCACUUGCCUCAAGUUUAGCAAGGUCUUGAGGAUACAAGCUACAUGAUGUAAGGACAUGAAGGACAAUUGAAGGAUUAGCAGACAAGGGAAACUCUCCUGGACUGGAGUCCCCAAAGCAAUGGCGUAGUUGGCGCUGAAAUGUAGGCAAUUGUGUGGCAACAAUGGUAGUAAUUGGCUGAUCAGGGAUGUUAUGGUAUUGUAUAGUUGGGGUUCCACUGGUAGUGGCAUCCAUGGGCACUGCCAACCUUAUACAGUGCCCAAACACAGCAGAAGAAAGGAUCUAACACUUCUGGGAAUUAUGAAAAUAUGUGCAAAUGCAUUACUACAUUAUUUAAUUUCUAUUUCUCAGUUUAUAGCAUCUGAAACUCUACACAUUGUUCUAACUUGUAACAAGCAUGUACCUCAAGAAUGUAUUUGACUAGCAAAUCUCAGGUCUCAAACCUACAAAGAAAAAAAAUAUACUUAUAAAAGAGAAACAAGUUUAGUUUUUUCUAAUGCAGUUGAAUUACAUGAUUGUCUGUCUCUAUUCACAACAGCACUAUAUAAAUCAAAGACACCAGAAGGCAAGAAUUUAGUCAUGAAACUUAUAUACCACAAUAAAAAAAAAUUUGACCGAUCGUAUAAUUGAUUAAGGGUGAAACCUUAUGAUCAAAAUUGAGGAUCCAAAUAAAGUGAUGGAAUCCAAAGAAGAAAUCUUUGAGAAUUACACUGUUCCCAGAUUAUGGGAUAUUCUACAAUCAUACACCCAAAAACAGAAAACUAAAAAAGGAAAAAAAUUUCUGAUCAAAGUUGAAAUAAUCGCAUCAAAGGUUGAUCAUCCCAAUCAAAAUGAAUCAAAUUGCAAAAUACCCUCUUCCAUACGGAAAUCAAACAUCCCUUUUUUUUUGUUGACUUUCCCAGAUCAGGGAAUCACAAGUAACCCAAUGAACAAGUACACUUGCUGGAUACGCAACCAGAAAAAGGGAAAAGCAACAAAAAUUAAAAAGAAUAAGGAAUCAAGGGAAGGGAGAGCCGAAAAUAAAACAUGGUAAACAAGUUUUGGGUGAAUGGAAUUCAUUAUGAUCGUUAUAGAUCGAAACAGAGACACGUGGAAGCGGUGAUUACUUAUGAGAGGGAUCAACAGCGAUUCCUCAAACCGAAUCUUCACCAUCGGUGCAGAAUUGUGGAGAGAGUUGUGAAGUUUUUUAAAUGAAGGAAAGAUCAAGUGAGUAUAUGAUCAAAUGGGCAAGAGCUGAAAAUCAGAGUGAGAGAGAGAAAGAAAGAGAGUUGAGGUUUUGUAUAGCUUUUGAGAGUGAAAUGGAUGAAUCAAUAAUUUCUUGUUUCUGAAAUGCAAGGGUCUCUUUUAUCUCUCUUUUAUUUAUAUGAUUAUUGCUAAUGACGAUGUGGUUAUGAUUGUUGUUACUCUUAAGUCACACCAAUUUAUUUAAUUCUACAACCCAUUUGCAACUAAAACUAUCUUAGUGUAAUUCAUCAAUAUAUUUCAUUUUUUACUUUAUUCUUUAAAUUUUACAAAUUCUUUUGAAUUAAUUAACUACCCACAAUAAAAAGCUACCUGUUAUAAAAUUAUAAAAAGAUAUUUGUUUAUUUUAUAAAUAUAUUUUUUCAUAAAUCUAAAAAUAAUUACAUAAAAAUUAUUUAUUUUAUUUUUUAUCAAAAAGAGAAAAUGAAUACACGUGUAAGCAGAUGUGUUUCCACCAAAGAGAAUUUUAACUAUUAAUGUAUGGUUUAAUUACCAAUUAUAUCUUUAUUAAUAUAAUUUAUUUCAUAACUAUUUUUUAAAAUUUAAUGAACUAUUUAUAAUAAAAAAAUUACCCAUAAUAAAAUUAUUAAAAAAAUAUUUUAUAAUUAUUUUUAUAAAUGUAUUUUUUAUAAAAAAAUUUAAAAAAUUAUGAUAAUUUUUUUAAUUUUGUUAUCAUAAUUUUAUUAGUAGUUGAUUCUUAUUAAUAGGGAUAUGACUUGUUAGUUAUUAACUAGAAUGAUUUAAUAAAUUAAUUAUUAAUUAGAUUGAGUAAAACUAUUCAAAAUCUUGAAUAAUAAAAAAAUAUUUAUUAGUGUUCUCGCCGUCCAUCGGAUUACGAAUGAGUUCUUCUUGGUCUCUUUUUUAGUACUCGAUCUAGCAAGACGCUGGUAUAACUACCUCCAAGCUUUAGCGAACCGUUCUUUUGGGAUGAGGGGGGUUCCACCUGUGAUUACACUACGACGCUCAAGUCAGUAAGAACACAAAAUAUAGUGUAUAUAGUGGAAUAUAUUGCAAAGGUGCAAGUUGAUAUACUCCUCUAGGUGGUUGUCUAUUUAUAAGCCUUCAUGAGCUUGAAUUUUUGACUCUGGUUCCUUUAGGCAUCAAUGUGUCAUAUUAUGAUAACUUUACAUAAAAUCUGAAUAUCAUAUAAUAUAAUCGAAGUAUUUAUGUAAUAUAAUAAGGGAUAUUAGGCAAAUAAGUUAGGGCAUUUAUGUGAUAUAAUCAGAGGAUAUUUAUAGUGUAAUAAGGAAUAUUGCGUCAACAUUUAUAGUGUAAUUAGGAAUACUCUGUUUAGCAUUUAUAGUAUAAUCAGGAAUCCUGCGUUUAACAUUUAUAGUGUGAUCUGGACGGACUCUGAUGAGCCUCUCAGUGGUAUGGAGACACGGGUAGCUCGGCUUAAUUCCUAGCCAUUUAUCGGGACGGUACACAACCCCCAGCCUUGAGCCAAGCCUGCUAGGUGCAAAGGCUAACGUCCGGUCUGAUAGUGAGGUUGGUCGGCUUAAUUCCUACUUAAUGAGUGUGGUAAGCUCGACUUUCAUGCAAGUAGGACACCUAAGUCGAUCGGUUUUCUCCCAACUCCUGAGCCUGUUAUAGGCUUCAUUUUUUACGCAAGUUGGGGAUCGCGUCGGUUGGAUUUCUCCCCACUCUUGAGCCUGUAUAGGUUUCAUUUUUUAUGCAAGUUGGGGACCGCGUCGGUCGAAUUUCUCCCAACUCAUGAGCCUGUUAUAAGCUUCAUUUUUUACGCAAGUUGGAGAUCACGUCGAUCGAUUUUCUCCCUAAAAGACCAUUUUUUUAAAUUUUGUUCAAAAAAUUUCCCUUAAAUAAAUUAAUUCAAAGAAAAGUUUGAAUUACUCGUUUUUUUAAAGAAUUAAAGUUUUUCUUUUAAGUUCAAUUCAUUCCCUUUUAAACUUAGUCCAUUUUCUCAACGAUUAUUAGCUAUGAUUGUUGAACUUAAUCUUAAACUGAAACAUAUGAACAUUAAGAUUCAUUCCAGUAGGAAAACUUAGAAGAAACCAUCUAUAUAAAGUAACUAGAAAGAUUUUAGGAAUGAGACAGAAAGGAUAUGUAUGGUCUGAUAAAUCUCGAAAAUAAUGGAACAAGAUGUAUGAUCUUAAAAGAACUAACUUUGAAAUUUAAUUUGUUUAAGAGUAGAAGUAGUUAAAAUGACUUGAACCUUGAAUAUUUUAUUGUUAAAGUUAAAAAGCUUAUAAAUAGUAAAAUUAAUUAUUCAAACUUCAUUUUAUAAAAAUCAUCAUUUCUUUAAAAAUAAAUAUUUGUUCUUCUCUAUAGAUUUAUGAGUUAAUCGUUCAUUUUUUUUUUCAAAAUUUGAACCUACAAUAAUGAAGCUAGCAUAGAAUAGAAAAUAUCCAUUUGAUCAUAAUUUCAUUUAGAGUAAGUUCUUUUUUAUUUUUUACUUGGGUUGUUUAUAAGCAACGUAAUUUACAUGAAUUUUGAGGUACAAAGAUAAAUUUUUGCUAGUCCAAGGUCGUAGUGGUAUCUUCAGUUUGAUUAUCAAAGUUUUAUGUUGUCUUAUUUGAGUUUAUUGUGUGAGCCAGACCGUUGAAGUUUCGUCGGGAUAACUAGAUUUUUGGCUAAGAGAAACUAUUAAUUAUGCAAAAAAAAUGUAUAUUUGUGUUUUGCACAGGUCUUUGGUGACCAUUUUGUUCGCCUAAUGAAAUUUGAUUUAGUGAAAACCCGAAAGUUUUAUUUGUUGGGAGACCGAAAAGUCACUAUAUGAGUAGACCUUUGGUUGAGCAAGCAAAAUGGUGGUUAGACAAAUUUAUACAUGUGCCUAAUUCGCCAAUCGAGCAUAAUGGUGGUUAAAAGAGACAAUGUUUUCUAGACUAUGAAGAAAAUAUGUUUGUAAAUGGUUUUAAAUCUAAAAAUUGUUUAUAUUUCACUAAAUUGUUAUAAUUUAUCAACCUUUUAUUCUAGAAUAUUGUUAUAAUGUGAUGAAUGGUAAAUUGAAAUUUGCUAAUAUUAAUUUUAUGUUGGAGUAUAGGGUUUCAAAUGAUAAAUUUGAUAUGUAUGUGACUUAUUAUGUGAUUGAUGAAGUACAUGAUGAUAUGUAACAUUUGAAAUGUAUGAUGUAAAUUCUAUAUGAUGAAAGAAGAAAUAUGAUUUGAGUUUAAAUUUAUACGAGUAAGAAUAUAUGUUGAGUGUGUUGUGAUAUAUAUGAAUGAAAUAUACGAAAGUUGAAGUCACAAACUUGGGAUGUUAUAUGAAUACUAAUAAUAGUAUGAGGUAUUAAGUGUAUGCAUAUAUGAUAUAAAGAUCUCUUGCUUCACUAAUAGUUAGGUCACAUAAACAAUGACAUUAUGUGGUGCAAAACUGAAAGAGAGUUUAUCAUAUUAUCAUAACACAUAUUGAGGUAUGAAAAGUGAAUCAUAACACAUGUUUAGAUUUGUGUAUGAAUGUAUUUAUAUUUUCUUGAUUGAUAAGAUCAAAAUUAUAAACCUGAGAGAUUUUGUUGUAGGUUAUGUGUUGAUAAUAACAUAUGGUUGAGAUGCGAAUGAAUUUUAUGAAUUCUGAAAAUGUAUGUAUUGUGAAAUUUUAAAAUACUAACUUAUCCUUAUCUUUUAUUGUAAAUAUGAUAUGAUUAUGAUGACAUAUUCUUAAAUAAUAAGAGAUGCUUGUAAAACAAGGAUAAUCUAUACUAUAUAUAUACAUUUAUUUAUAUAUAUAUAUAUAUAUAUAUAUAUAAAUAAAGUAAGUGUAGCAAUAUUUUGUGUUACUUAUUUUGUUUGGUAAAGAAUAUACAAAUAAAUUAGAUAGAAAAAAUUUAAUAGAAAUAUAUAUGAAAUAAAUUCAAAAUUCAAUUUUAUAUUGAAAAGAAAUAAAAAAAAAACAAGAGAGAUAGAAAAAAAAAUAUAAUAAACUUCAUUUUUUUAGUUAAUUCACUUUGUAUUACACCUAACAUUAUAUUAAAUUUAUUUCCAUUCAUACCUUACUAUCUCAACCAACUCCUUGUAGAAGUUUUUCUUUGUAUGAGGUGAAAGGGAGGAGAAUAUAGAAGUUUUUCUUUGAAUGAGGUGAAAGAGAGAAGAUAAAAGAGAAGAUAAUAGUGUUUUAAUGAGUGGGUUUGGUUGAGAUGAAAUUGUUGUAAAUGCCCAUGCUCUGCCCUUCUUGUUGGAUUCAAUGGAAUUAAGGUGAAUGUGAGUUAGUUAACCAUGACACCAGAUCCAUAAUUAAUUAUAAACUUAUCACAUUAUUAUGUAAGUUACCUAGGAUUCAUAAUAAUUAUACACUUAUCACAUAAUUAAUUAGGUAAGUUACCUAGAAAUUCAAGUUAUAUACAAAAUAUUGACAUGCAUUACCUAUAUUCAAUUAUCAAAUAAUCAUAUUGGAUUAUAUAAUUUUUAUAAUAACAAAAAAAUGAAAGAGAAGUGUAUAUUCAUCCCAAAUUUUUAAUUUUAUUUUUUUUCCAAUGAAAGAUAUAAUUAUAUAAAUUUCCUUUUUUUCAAUUUUUUGCACUAUGACAUCAAACAAACAACUUCAUUUUUUUUUUUCAUUCCUUCAAUUCCUUUAGCAUCAACAAAUAAGAAGGCUUAGUUAGGUAUGCUAAAAAAAAUUCACUGAAGUGAUAAGAAGGGGGAUAUGAGGUGGAAAUCUCAUCUAAGUCACUGUUUGGAUAAGAGAAGAAUAAUAUUAGAAACCACAAUCCCAUUGGAGCACGUUUCUCCAACGUGGCUUUUCCAAAUAUUAAAGACGUCUUUGUAUUGAAAUUUACAACUGAGUUCAUUAAAACAAUAUAAGUCUUGCAGGAAUAAAUUUUUAACUAAAAUUUUAUGGUAAAACUAUAUUUUUAAAAAUAGCCAAAUAUACCACAACUCUCCAAACUAGAUUUGAAGUGUCCAAAACUAAAAACGAAACAGAGCUUAAGUGUUAAUCCUCACUGAGAACCACUAUUCCCAUUCUCUCUCCACUGUCAUUUUUAUAUAGAAUUUUAGUCAUCUAUAAAAAAAAAUAUUUUGAAUCUAUAAUAAAAAAAUAUAAAACAAGUUACCUCUUACCGAAAGAAGUAGUACCUCUUACCUAUAAACAUUAAAAUAAGAAGUCAGUGAUGUCAAGUGAAUCGCAAAUUAGUAAAUUUAACCAACUUUAUCUAAGCAAAUGAUCCUAGGAUAACCACAUUCAAAAGUCAAGACAACUGAACUGUAUAUAAACCUUCACAUUUUAAAGUAUCAUAAUCUAGUUGAAGCCUAAGAUUAAUGUCAAGAACCUCAGAAGAGGCAGUGGGUGAGGCCCCUGUCAUUUGUUGACACUAAAACUGUACGUAGUGUGCAUAAAUUAGAGGAUGACAUGGUGUAAAGAAUUGGGAGUACACCAGCAAACAUAGUUAACAAAGAUCAAUAUCAAGCAGCUCUGGCUUUCCUCUUUCAGUGUGGUUGGCACCAAGCUCUACACCUAGUUGUCCUUUGUCCCCAGCCCCAAAGGCAUACAACUUCCCUGAUUCAGUUAAGGCAAAGGUAUGAGCUUUCCAAUAUAUGGAAUUGGUCAGACUAAUCUGCACCACCCGUUCAUUGAUCUCUUUCAUUGAACUCACAAGCUUUGGACUUAACACAUUUGCAUGCAUGUCUUCCUGCACAAGCACAAGAUUAAAUUUUAAUACAAUGGACAACCAAUACAAAAUCCAGAGUUCAUUUUGCACUUUGCAACAGUGCACAUGAAUUCAGUACUUUCAAGUCAUGCUGGCCCGUCAUUCAGAUUUAGCAUAAACUCGGGCAUUUGUAUAAUGCGAUCAGGUCUUAAAAAAAGAAAAGCUUCAACUACAAGCUACAUUCUGAAACUGAAAGUUCCAGUUCUUGCAAAGCAAAAACCGCUAGCCAGUUCAUCAUAUCAUGAUUGCAUAAAAAUCAAAGGAAAGCAACUUCCUUUCAAUCAAGCCAAACAAAUCAGAGUGAAAGGCAUAAGAAAGCAGACCUGCUCAUGAUUCUCGGGGUUAUGGCCAAGACUAGCAGAUUCUCCGCAACCAAAAGAAUACACAUCACCGUUAUCAGACACUACAAAUGUGGUGUAAUCCCCUGUAGCAACAUGAACUGCUUUGACAUCUCUCAACUCUUCCACCACCUUAGGUACAGAUUCACAUUCUUCAUUACCAUGACCCAGGCAGCCAUAACGACCCCACCCCCAUGUGCAAAUACGGCCAUCCUGCCCCACCACAGCUGCAUGCCAAGCACCAGCUGCAACCACCAUCGGCCUAAGGUUUAACAGCUGGAAU
rnacentral:lncRNA from 1 species